GACCAACUAGCAACUGUGUACAACAAAACACCUCUGAAGAUUCCAGAACCCAGGAGUGGGGUUGAAGCAUACCCUUGGAUCACAGAAACCAGGAAAAACUGCAUUAGAAGGCAGGCAAAACCGAGGACUUCAGCCCGGGACACAGCAUCUCAGAGGAGAGAUGCUUCCAAAGAGUUCACGCCUGACCAGGAGAAUCCCUAGUAUCUACCUUCACAGAAGACAAGAACACAGUAACAGCAUGCGGUA